rnacentral:misc_RNA from 1 species
AUGAGUUGUAUUUGACCUGUGUCUGCUGGUUGGACCCCCGGCCUUGUGUGCGGCCGACUUCCAGCGCCAGUGUCGCAUUGAGUUCAACAUGAAAAUUCUUCUGUCCCGUCAAGUGCGCUUGUGUUGGAACCCGUCAUGUGGGAAGUGGCUCAUCAUACAAGUUUUCCUCGCGACAAACACCUGAUGGUGGCUUGUUGCGGCCAGAAUGCAUCUCUGGUAUUGCCAUGUGCUGCUUGUGGAUUUCAUCACCCUGUGACACCAUGGCUAUCUCAGUUGUGCUAUUUGUUUCGGAUGUUGCUCACGAUAAAGGUCCGUGGCCAUGGGUGCCCGUCCCUAUAUGAAGCUCGCUCAAUGGACGACAGCUGAAUCAUGUGCCGUAUGUUGUGUUGCCACUUGUUGGUGCGCGCGUGUGGCCAUGAMUCCGGCUCGUCGAGAAGGACGUGCU